GAAGGCCACGGGUUGUAAAGCUCUUUCACCCACGACGAAGAGACGUGAGUGUGAGUAAGAAGCCCCGGCAUACUUCGUGCCAUCAGCCGCGGUAAUACGAAGGGGGCAAGCGUUGUUCGGAAUGACUGGGCGUAAAGGGCGCGUAGGCGGUUCGUUGCGUCAGAUGUGAAAGCCCCGGGCUCAACCUGGGAACUGCAUUUGAUACGGGCGAGCUUGAAUCCAAGAGAGGGUGGUGGAAUUCCCUUUGUAGAGGUGAAAUUCGUAGAUAUUGGGAAGAACACCAGUGGCGAAGGCGGCCACCAUGCUUGGUAUUGACGCGGAGGUGCGAAAGCGUGGGGAGCAAACAGGAUUAGAUACCCUGGUAUUCCACGCCGUAAACGAUGUGUGCUAGCCGUUGGGCAGCUUGCUGUUCGGUGGCGCAGCUUACGCGAUAAGCACAUCGCCUGGGGAGUACGGUCGCAAGAUUAAAACUCUAAGGAAUUGACGGGGGCCCGCACAAGCGGUGGAGCAUGUGGUUUUAUUCGUAGCAUCGCGCAGAACCUUACCAACCCUUGACAUGUGAAGUAUGGGCCUGAGAGAUCGGGUCCUUCAGUUCGGCUGGCUUCC
rnacentral:rRNA from 1 species